AAGCCUUCUUUUGUGUGUUUUUCUCCUUAUUGUCGUUCUCCACUCCUGCCCUUUCACGAUUGUCUCCGUUCGUCCCUCGUCCGUCAAAAUUUGGUGCACAAGACAUUAGGGAAUUACUUACUAACUUCAAAUUGAUUACUUUAGGCUCCUCCAUCUUGGACCUUGGUUGUGCUCCUGAUGCCUCGCUUCAGGAAACUAAUGCAAACUUCGAUGAAGUGGUGGUUGUUGCUAAAGAGCUUCAGAAUGAUUGAAGUCAUAUUGGGUUGAAAGCUAAGCGAUUGUGUAGAUAGCCAAACAAUUGUUGAAGGUUGAAGAUUGAGAAUGCGUUUAGGAUUUCCUUAUUUAAGUCUUGUAUUAAGAUCUUGUUUCAUGUAAUUGUUGUAGAAUGUGUAUAUAAACACAAUAUUAAGAUUUCAUUAUGUAUAUACAUAUGUAAAA